AACAAACGCUGGCGGCGUGCCUAACACAUGCAAGUCGUACGAGAAAGUCGGCUUCGGCCGGUGAGUAAAGUGGCGCACGGGUGAGUAACGCGUGGAUAAUCUGCCCUCCGGUCAGGAAUAACCAAUCGAAAGGUUGGCUAAUACCCGAUCACACUCUUGCACUGCGGUGCAAUAGUCAAAGAUGGCCUCUGUAUACAAGCUAUCGCCGGGGGAUGAGUCCGCGUACCAUUAGCUGGUUGGUGGGGUAAUGGCCUACCAAGGCGAUGAUGGUUAGCUGGUCUGAGAGGAUGGCCAGCCACACUGGAACUGAGACACGGUCCAGACUCCUACGGGAGGCAGCAGUGAGGAAUCUUGCGCAAUGGGGAACCCUGACGCAGCAACGCCGCGUGAGUGAGGAAGGCCCUCGGGUCGUAAAGCUCUGUCAGGUGGGAAGAAUCGAUGAAGGUGAACAACCUCCAUCCUUGACGGUACCACCAGAGG
rnacentral:rRNA from 1 species